CACGUGCGCAUUUGAAAAUUUCUACAAACGUCGAGUUUUCUGCGACUGGAAAGUCAAACGUUUUAUGCAGCGUUAACUUUGCUUUAUCUCAGCGAGCCACCAUUUCUAGUGAAGUACUGUACAGUAUAGCGGAGCAGCAGACGGAGCUAACAUGGAGUGAACAACCAGGCCUAAUGAUGGGAGAGAAGGCCUUAUAAUUACAGCGUUGAGGUGCUCGGCGUCUGUUCUGGAGGCUCACCUUAUGAGGACCGCUAAUAUUCAUGUGCCAGGCGCAGCAAGAGUUUGCUGUUUUCAACCCGCCGCCGAUAAUGUAUUCUUGAUGAGCAUGACGGAGGCGGUGAAAGUGCCAGAACUGGCAGAGGAAAGGAAUGAAAAAACAUUUUCAUGAACAUCGGUUGUGGGAGGCCCAAGCAGUAAACCCAGGACUUUCAAGAUAAGGACAGCCAUCACCUAUCACCCUGAAGAACCUUUGCACCACCAACAGGAAAAAUACCUUUCAUGAGCUGGUGUAGCAUGAAUUACUACUUUAUUGCAAAUUAAAUUAUAAAAGUGGAUCUUGUUUGACAAAGGUGUAGCCAUCUGAGCACUUACUUUCCCAGUCAAUAUGAAAAGAAGAGUUUGAGCAGCUGCUGCAGACUGAACUUUCACUUGCUUGAAAAUCACAAAAAUUAGAAAAGUCUUUAUUGUGCAUUUGUUAGAAAAUCUGUUCUUUGCAUUUUAGUAUGCUGUGGCACUAUAGAAUGCAUUUAAUUAAAAAACUGGCUAAUAUGAUGACAAAAGGCAAAGAAAAUCAGCUUAUUGUAGGUAUCAGCAUACAAGUAAUAAUAUAUCUCAUGGUUCUUGGUAACCUACGUCUAAGGCUAAAUUUAUUUGAAUGCUACCUGGACUGAGUACAACCUCUCUGCUUUCCUUGGAAAAUAUCUUUCUGUUUCCUUGUAAUAAUCAAUGGAUGUCCUGCACAAACACAAACCCUUUGAGGCUACUUCAAGUUCUCCACAACACACUGGUACUGUGGAUCCUCAUUAAAUACAGACUGGAGACUGAUGUGUUUUUUAUCAUUUCCACGUAUUGUUCCCUGUCAGCUUGGAUUCUGGCUUAGGUAUUUCAAAAUAGAAAUGACUUUGUCUCCUACAUUGGCCAUAAUCUUAUUCCUGGAAAAAGCAGUAGUGAGCGCCAGUGAAUGGUCUCAUGAUUAUGGGUCCUGGACUGUUAAGACAACAUCCUGCCGUUUGAAAGCCACGCUUUGGUAGUAGCUGCAAGUCUACACCGAGGUAGAAAUAGACUCCACACUUCAAAAAGGAGCAGUCUGUCAGAGGCAACAAGUAGAAGGUUUAACAACCCCAAAACACCAAGAGGAAGGCUACUCUUUUCAUCCACCUGAAGACCAUGAAUAAAGUCAAAACAUCGGUCUUCUAAUGCUGGCUCAGUGAACGCUCCCCCAAAGCUUUCUGGGAAGUAUUUCUUCACACUCUGUGCUGUUUACCUUGUUUCCACAGUGGAUAGGGUGUGCACAAUAUUUGGGCCAUAGCACCUACAUUCUAUGACUUACAGUUUCUUACACACUGUGUCUUAUUGCAGUGUCAAAUAAUAAGUCAUUUUUACUUGAGGCUUUCAGAACACUUCUUAUAGAAAGACAAAGGAAAUAAUAAUCAAAGGAAAUGUGUUCAAUGUAUUUCCAUCUUCUCAGUUGUGUUGACACCAAUAUUUCCAGUCCACACUGAAUCCUCCACAUUAGGUUAUUUUAAAGCAGUAAACUUAUUUCAAAGUGAAGCUUCAGUGAUAAGAUUUAUUUUCGUGUGAUCGCAGCAACAUCAGUUUUACUUUCUGUACUAAAGGAAAAGUCUUCUGAGGUUCCUUGCUUGAUUAGGGUUUUAUUUUAAUUGAUAGAAGACAACAAAUGUAAGUCUGAUCUGAGCUAUUGCAUGAAGUUAGCAUUCCAAGCGUCAUACUGUAGGUCACACUAUAGUUUAGGCUUUGCAUAAUUGUUUCUUAUGGUAUUAUAUGCAUUUUGUUGAGUUGAGGUAAAACAGUGACUCAAGUAAUGCUCCUUUUGUUUUCAAUAAAGGGCACUUCAUGCAGAAUAAUCCUGUGAGCUCCACAGAUGCAAUGUACAAAGCAGAAAUAAAAAAUAAUUAUCAUUUUGAGUUCCUUUCAUUUUCUGAGCUCAGAGGUAUUGUUUUAUUAUUGAUGGCAAUCUGACAGUUCUAUACAGUAAUUACACAUUCACAUUCACAAUCAGAAACCAAAUGAAAUUCUGAUUUAGCCCUUAAUCAAAUGACUGGCAAAAAAACUAGAAACGUUUUAGCAGUUUUAUGCACAAGAUGUCAAAUCACUUUAUAGGAAGAAAAUCAAAGUUUA